rnacentral:tRNA from 1 species
CGGACUGUCGUAUAACGGUAGUAUGUACGCUUCGGGUGCGUGCGGCCCGGGUUCGACUCCCGGCAGUCCGACAA